CUGGGAUUGUCGUGCAUCACUGCUUUGCUGAGAAUAACCAGGCCAUUCCCAGGAGUGUGUCAAAAAUGUAGCUGCUACCCCAUGCAAUGGUCUUCUGAGUCUGCUCAUUUCACUCUGCAUCAGUUCACGUAUUUUUCUGAUUCUUACAAAAUCAUCCUGCUUGUCACUUCUUAUAGUGCCAAAAGUACUUCAUCAUACCCAUUCUCUAUCUCAAGGGUCCUCCUUCUAAGGUUCAUCCCAGCUCUGAUAUUCUGUGUUCUAACACUCUUUCCAGCUCUGACAUUUUGUGUUCUAAGGGCCCUCCCAGCUCUGACAUUCUGUGUUCUAAGGGCCCUCCCAGCUCUGACAUUUUGUAUUCUAAGGGCCCUCCCAGCUCUGACAUUCUCUGUUCUAAGGGCCCUCCCAGCUCUGACUUUCUGUGUUCUAAUGCUCUUCCCAGCUCUGACAUUCUCUGUUCUAAGGGCCCUCCCAGCUCUGACUUUCUGUGUUCUAAGAUCCAUCCUAACUCUAAUAUUUUGUGUUCUAUUGCUCUUCCCAGCUCUGACAUUCUCUGUUCUAAGGGCCCUCCCAGCUCUGACAUUCUGUGUUCUAUUGCUCUUCCCAGCUCUGACAUUCUGUGUUCUCAGAGUUUACAAAGGAAUUAUCCCCUCACCCAGCAUUAGCAGAAAUGAGAACUCCAGCAGGAGGGCCAGGGCUCCCCUCUGUUAUCCAGAGUCCCAAAGUCCUGGAAGACCAUCUCCUCCAAGCAUCCCUACACAAAGGCUUCAGUGUUCCCAUAUGGUACAAUGGAAGGAGUGCUAACUCUGGAGUCUGAGGGCUGCUACUCUGCUCAUGUCUGUGUGCCCUCAUACAAGACAAACAACAUUUCUCUGAAUGUCUGUUGUCUCUUCUGCAAAAGGAAGGGGUUGGCUUGGAUGACUUCUGAGAUCCCUUCCCGCUCCAAACUCAUUGUCCCAUAAUCCCCUGUACCACACUCCCAAUGAGUGAAGGAACACUCAGCCUCCUCUACCUACUAACCCAAUCAAUUCCCCUUUCAAGUUGACCUCAUUCUUAGUGUUUUCUUAUGUCAAGCUCAAAUGAAACCUGAAACUUUGCCCCACUGCUCGAGUUCCGACAUCUGAGGCCAAUCAAAACAAGUCUAAUCCCUUACCACAUGUGAUGUUCAAUUCAGUUGGGUCCAACUUUUUAUGACCCCAUUUGGGGUUUUCUUGGCAUAGACAAAAGAGUGAUUUGCCAUUUCCUUCCUUAGUUCAUUUUAUAGAGCAGGAAACUGAAGCAAAGUGACUUGUCUAGGGUCAUACAACUAGGAACUGUCUGAGACCAGAUUUGAACUCAGGAGGAUGAGUCUUCAUGAUUCCAGAUCCAGCACUCUAUCCACUCCACCACCCAGCUGCCCCUAAUAGCCACAUAAUGUACCUUCAGAUAUUGAAGAUAGCUAUCAUGUCCCUCCUCAGCCUUCUUUGCUCUAGGCUAACCAUCCCCAAUUCCUUCCAUCUGUCUUUGUAGAGUUAGGAGACUUGUUUUCCCUCUCUCGUAGGGUUACUCUAGUCCAACUUGGGGAAACUCCUCUCUCAUUCUCUUUUGGAAAAUCUUUGAGAAGCAGGCCAGGGACAUCUGCAAGAAGUGACUCAGAUGCCCUGGAGGAAGAUGGAA
rnacentral:lncRNA from 1 species